AAGACUAUACUUUCAGUGAUUAUUUCUGUAGUUGUUAUUAGAGAAGUUUCUCUGACUGUGAAGAGUACCAGAAACCACAAGGAGGUGGUGUAGCAUUCUCUCCUUAGUGUGAAGCUGAAUCCUGAUAUUAUUGCUUUGAUGUAACUGCCACUUGUCAUUAAUGAUCAUUCCUGCUCUUCUUUGGGGAAGCUGAAGUCUAAGUGGA
ensembl:snoRNA U3 Small nucleolar RNA U3